CGUUGCCAUCCCUGACGCUGCUGGUCCGCUACGAGUUACCUGUCACCUGCUCCCAGGUCGCCCCCUAAGUCGAGCUCCCCACGCUCGACCUGCAAGAUGUGAUGUGGCCAAGAACUGCUCUCUGCCGCGGGAGUAGAUUGGAAAGGCAAGGCGCAAGGAGAGAUUGGAAAGGCUGCUGCUGCUCCUGGACGAUGCUGCUGCUGCCGCCGCUGCCUCUCGUCGAUUCGGGCAUGAGCACAUUCUUGGAGUGGAUUUGCAUUUCAGAAAGUUUACAAGUGGGAGUACAUGAAGUACUACAGUUUAAAUAGAGGAGAAGAUGGUGCCUGCUCCAUGAUGAUGCCGCCAUCAGCUACGAAUUCCUCGAACAUGGCGAGUACUCCAAUGCUUGUAUUCCUAUCAAUGUUUACUGCUGUAAUCAUGGAGUAGUUAGCUGAUGUAAUCAUGGCCGGAGAAAUGCACCAUUAGUUGGUAAGAAAUAAUGUCAGUAUGAAACCUCUGAUAGUAACUGUUUUUUCUGUGA